rnacentral:rRNA from 1 species
AACGAACGCUGGCGGCAUGCCUAACACAUGCAAGUCGAACGAGACCUUCUGGUCUCGUUGCGCACGGGUGCGUAACGCGGGAGAACCUUCCCUUAGGUUCGGAAUAACCCACCGGAAGCGGUGCUAAUAACGGCUAAGGCCUUCGGACCAAAGAUUGAGCGCGUUUGGGUGGGCGCGCGUUUGAUUAGCUAGUUGGUAGGGUAAAAGCCUAUCAGGGCGCCGAGCUAUAGCUGUUCUGAGAGGAUGAUCAGACACACUGAGACUGAGACACGGCCCAGACUCCUGCGGGAGGGAGGAGUGGGGUAUAUUGGAAUGGGGGAGAGCGUCAGAGAGAGCUAUGCCGCGUAAGUAAUGAGCGCAUUAGGGUUGUACAGCUCUUUUAGCCGAGGAGAUAAUGACGGUAUCGGAAGAAUAAGCACCGGCUAACUCCGUG